GGAAGUAAAAAGUCGUAACAAGGUCUCCGUUGGUGAACCAGCGGAGGGAUCAUUA
rnacentral:rRNA from 13 species